CUCCACACCACAAGGGCGAGAGCGAAUCGUAGCUGGUUCGAGGGAUAGAUACGCACAUCGACUGAGAACGGCGACUCUACCGGAGCAGCAGUGGUAAUAUGACAUGGCGAAGGCUGAUCAGCCAUGCGCGUGUGUGAAGAAGCCUCGGGUGUAAAGCACUUCAGUGGGAAGAAAGCUCGGGAUUAAUACUUCCGAGGGAGGACAUCACCCACAGAAGAAGCACCGGCUAACUCCGUGCCAGCAGCCGCGGUAAUACGGAGGGUGCGAGCGUUAAUCGGAAUUACUGGGCGUAAAGCGCGCGUAGGCGGUCUGAUAAGCCGGUUGUGAAAGCCCCGGGCUCAACCUGGGAACGGCAUCCGGAACUGUCAGGCUAGAGUGCAGGAGAGGAAGGUAGAAUUCCCGGUGUAGCGGUGAAAUGCGUAGAGAUCGGGAGGAAUACCAGUGGCGAAGGCGGCCUUCUGGACUGACACUGACGCUGAGGUGCGAAAGCGUGGGUAGCAAACAGGAUUAGAUACCCUGGUAGUCCACGCCGUAAACGAUGUCGACUAGCCGUUGGGCUCCUUGAGAGCUUUGUGGCGCAGUUAACGCGAUAAGUCGACCGCCUGGGGAGUACGGCCGCAAGGUUAAAACUCAAAUGAAUUGACGGGGGCCCGCACAAGCGGUGGAGCAUGUGGUUUAAUUCGAUGCAACGCGAAGAACCUUACCUACCCUUGACAUCGUGCGAACUUGGUAGAGAUACCUUGGUGCCUUCGGGAGCGCACAGACAGGUGCUGCAUGGCUGUCGUCAGCUCGUGUUGUGAAAUGUUGGGUUAAGUCCCGUAACGAGCGCAACCCUUGUCCUUAUUUGCCAGCGCGUAAUGGCGGGAACUCUAAGGAGACUGCCGGUGACAAACCGGAGGAAGGUGGGGACGACGUCAAGUCAUCAUGGCCCUUACGGGUAGGGCUACACACGUGCUACAAUGGCCGGUACAAAGGGUUGCGAAGCCGCGAGGUGGAGCUAAUCCCGAAAAGCUGGUCUCAGUCCGGAUCGGAGUCUGCAACUCGACUCCGUGAAGUCGGAAUCGCUAGUAAUCGUGAAUCAGAAUGUCACGGUGAAUACGUUCCCGGGCCUUGUACACAGCCCGUCACACCAUGGGAGUGGACUGCACCAGAAGUGGUUAGCCUAACUUCGGAGGGCGAUCACCACGGUGUGGUUCAUGACUGGGGUGAAGUCGUAACAAGGUAACCAAUCUCUAGAGUCCCCCCGAACCGAUUCC
rnacentral:rRNA from 1 species